rnacentral:rRNA from 1 species
UACGUAGGGGGCGAGCGUUGUCCGGAUUUAUUGGGCGUAAAGGGCGCGUAGGCGGUUUGUCGCGUCCGCUGUGAAAACCCGAGGCUCAACCUCGGGCCUGCAGUGGGUACGGGCAGACUAGAGUGCGGUAGGGGAGACUGGAAUUCCUGGUGUAGCGGUGGAAUGCGCAGAUAUCAGGAGGAACACCGAUGGCGAAGGCGGGUCUCUGG